rnacentral:rRNA from 1 species
UACAGAGGGUGCAAGCGUUAAUCGGAAUUACUGGGCGUAAAGCGCACGUAGGUGGAUAUUUAAGUCGGAAGUGAAAGCCCUGGGCUUAACCUGGGAAUUGCCUCCGAUACUGGAUAUCUAGAGUAUGGUAGAGGAUAGUGGAAUUUCCGGUGUAGCGGUGAAAUGCGUAGAUAUCGGAAGGAACACCAGUGGCGAAGGCGGCUAUCUGGACCAAUACUGACACUUAGGUGCGAAAGCGUGGGGAGCAAAC